AAUUCGAUGCAACGCGAAAAACCUUACCUACCCUUGACAUGUCUGGAAUCCUGAAGAGAUUUGGGAGUGCUCGAAAGAGAGCCAGAACACAGGUGCUGCAUGGCCGUCGUCAGCUCGUGUCGUGAGAUGUUGGGUUAAGUCCCGCAACGAGCGCAACCCUUGUCAUUAGUUGUUACGAAAGGGCACUUUAAUGAGACUGCCGGUGACAAACCGGAGGAAGGUGGGGAUGACGUCAGGUCAUCAUGGCCCUUAUGGGUAGGGCUACACACGUCAUACAAUGGCCGGGACAGAAGGCUGCCAACCCGCGAGGGGGAGCUAAUCCCAGAAACCCGGUCGUAGUCCGGAUCGUAGUCUGCAACUCGACUGCGUGAAGUCGGAAUCGCUAGUAAUCGCGGAUCAGCUUGCCGCGGUGAAUACGUUCCCGGGUCUUGUACACACCGCCCGUCACACCAUGGGAGCGGGUUCUGCCAGAAGUAG
rnacentral:rRNA from 1 species